rnacentral:rRNA from 1 species
GCAAGUCGAGGGGCAGCAUUUACUUCGGUAAGAUGGCGACCGGCGAACGGGUGCGUAACGCGUAUGCAACCUACCUUAUACAAAAGGAUAGCCCAUGGAAACGUGGAUUAAUACUUUAUGGUACUAUAAAACUGCAUAGUUUAAUAGUUAAAACUUCGGUGGUAUAAGAUGGGCAUGCGUAGGAUUAGGUAGUUGGUGAGGUAAUAGCUCACCAAGCUGACGAUCCUUAGGGGUUCUGAGAGGAUAGUC